rnacentral:tmRNA from 1 species
GGGGCCGACCGGUUUCGACUUUGCAGGAUGGAAUAUAGACGCAGCCAGUCUUUGAGUGGUAGACUCUAAACAGACUCAACCCAUAAAUGCAAACUCUAAGAAUGCAUCUGCCUACGCUCUAGCAGCGUAAUGGCCGGGUUAGUGGGAGACCUAGGAACAGAAUGUCCCACCUAAAACAGCCUCUAAAGAGGCACUUUGUGAAGAUAAUGUGCAAGACCUUUUCGUGUGAUUGACAUGGCUGUACAUCGGAUAUAUGCUUGAUAGUAAAGGACGGGGGUUCGAUUCCCCCCGGCUCCAC